rnacentral:rRNA from 1 species
UACCAGCACCCCGAGUGGGCUGGACGUUUAUUGGGCCUAAAGCAUCCGUAGCCGGUUCUACAAGUCUUCCGUUAAAUCCAACUGCUUAACAGGUGGGCUGCGGAAGAUACUAUAGAGCUAGGAGGCGGGAGAGGCAAGCGGUACUCGAUGGGUAGGGGUAAAAUCCGUUGAUCCAUUGAAGACCACCAGUGGCGAAGGCGGCUUGCCAGAACGCGCUCGACGGUGAGGGAUGAAAGCUGGGGGAGCAAACCGG